UCCAUCAAGAGAACAGCAACACCUGCUGCACCAGCUGAGUUUGAUCGAGUGUAAAGUCACCACUAACUCUGCUGUUACUGUGUUGUCAGUGAAGUUUUUUCAGCCCAGCGGAUCGGAGGAACCUCCAGUUUCAAGUUAAAAAUAAAACUGUGGAGUUAUGACAGGUGCAACGACAUGGCACCACAUGCCGUGACUUCAGGAAGGAUUUAUGUCUUUAAUAUCCUGCAAAGAGCUGCUGGCUGAGUAAAUGUUUGGUGUUUCCUUUGUUGCGUAAAAAAAAGAGAUUAAAUAUGAAUCAGCAGCGCCGCUUCAGUUGAA